UAUUUUGAUUUUUCAUAAAGGAGUUUGGAAAGUGUGUCGCGGACUGAUUUCUGUUCCCAGUUUUCCUUCAUUGAUCCUGAACUGGAGAAAGAGAAAGAGCAGAAGAAUAGAGAAUUAGAUUCUUUAAACACAAGAGUUUCUGAGUUAGUGUCCCGACUACAGGAGGUAGAGAAGGAUCGAGAACACUGGAAACUAGAACACCAACUCUCACAGAUUAAACUGGAUAAACAGCACCAAGGGGACCAGGAUUCCCAUGAUGGUAUAUUCGUGAAUGAUAAUGAGAUUAAAUCUGUUUUUAAGUCAAGGUAAACUUUUGUUUCUUCUAGUGGCAAUGGGGUAAAU